rnacentral:rRNA from 1 species
GACGAACGCUGGCGGCGUGCUUAACACAUGCAAGUCGAGCGGUAAGGCCUUUCGGGGUACACGAGCGGCGAACGAGUGAGUAACACGUGGGUGAUCUGCCCUGCACUUCGGGAUAAGCCUGGGAAACUGGGUCUAAUACCGGAUAUGACCUCCUAUCGCAUGGUGGGUGGUGGAAAGAUUUAUCGGUGCAGGAUGGGCCCGCGGCCUAUCAGCUUGUUGGUGGGGUAAUGGCCUACCAAGGCGACGACGGGUAGCCGACCUGAGAGGGUGACCGGCCACACUGGGACUGAGACACGGCCCAGACUCCUACGGGAGGCAGCAGUGGGGAAUAUUGCACAAUGGGCGAAAGCCUGAUGCAGCGACGCCGCGUGAGGGAUGACGGCCUUCGGGUUGUAAACCUCUUUCAGCAGGGACGAAGCGCAAGUGACGGUACCUGCAGAAGAAGCACCGGCUAACUACGUG